rnacentral:rRNA from 1 species
CAGUCGCCACGGGAAAACGAGGGGGGCAAGCGUUGUUCGGAAUUAUUGGGCGUAAAGGGUGCGUAGGCGGUUUGGCAAGUCUUAUGUGAAAUCUUCGGGCUCAACCCGAAGUCUGCAUGAGAAACUGCCGGGCUUGAGUAUGGGAGAGGUGAGUGGAAUUUCCGGUGUAGCGGUGAAACGCGUAGAUAUCGGAAGGAACACCGAUUGCGAAGGCAGCUUACUAAAGUGCGAUUGACGCUGAGGCACGAAAGCGUGGGGAUCAAACAGGAUUAGAUACCCCUGUAGUCCCUGUCUCUUAUAA